rnacentral:rRNA from 1 species
UACGGGGGGGGCAAGCGUUGUUCGGAAUUACUGGGCGUAAAGGGCUCGUAGGCGGCCAAGCAGGUCCGUUGUGAAAACUGGAGGCUUAACCUCCAGACGUCGACGGAAACCGCGUGGCUAGAGUCCGGAAGAGGAGAGUGGAAUUCCUGGUGUAGCGGUGAAAUGCGCAGAUAUCAGGAAGAACACCAAUGGCGAAGGCAGCUCUCUGGGACGGUACUGACGCUGAGACGCGAAAGCGUGGGGAGCGAACAGG